CUCCAAGCCUAAUUCCCCUCAUAUUAAAGAUGUUUGGAUAUAAUUAGAAAUAUUUCCUCUCAUAUUGGGUUAAGUAUAUGAAUCAAUCUCCUAUAAAUAAUUUGAGUCGUUGGCAAUCUUAAAGUUGUUGGCCUUUGGAAUGUAAGGUGUUGUUUCAAAGACAGCUAAGUUCUGGAAUCCCUGGACUUUGUUGCCUACUGCUCUUCUGUUUCACAGAGUCGCCUGUGUGAAGUCUUUUCAACUGCCUGCGCAGUUACAGAUAGUGUACUCGGGAGGAAAACUUCUGCUCUUUAGCAGAGGGUUAUAAAAACGUUGCUUUCUCUCAAAAAGAUUUCCUUUUUUUUUUUUUUUGCAAUUUAUUGUGCUUUUUCAAAGUUGCUUGGAAAUUUAAUUUUGAAACUUGCUUCAUGAAGAGCAGCCAAAGAUAGCUUCUUUUGUUUCCUUCAAUCAGUCGCCUCUUAUUCAUUGUCAAAUCAUUCCACCGGCACUUCGGACUUGCUCCGAAAUUGCAUUGCCUUCCAAACAGAGAUGUCCUGCUUCUCUCAUUUUUUUUUGGUGCCCAAGUUGCUUGUGAAAUCUUGUUUCCUCUAUGAAACUCAACAUAAGAAAAUAUUGGAAACAGGGUAUUUCUCUGUCUAAAUAUGCAGCAUCGAUGAUUUUUCCUCUAUCAGCAGUCCAUGGGAUAUAUUUAGUAUUUUGCUUACAAACAAUACCUGAAUAUUGUUUUCUAUUUUAAUUUUUUAAAAAAGUUUAUUUUACUGUCUUUGUGGCCUCACGUCUCUGUCUGUCAGCAUUGUCUGGCUAGGACUGGGACAACAUUUGCUUAAUAUACCUGGUUUUGCACCCACUCUGUAUUAUUGUACUUAUAUCUCUAUUGAUUUAAUGGCUGUAGCUUGCCUUAUGAAAGGAGAUAUCUGGAUAUAUUAGUUGUAAAGGUCACAUAGUUUUAUUACCAUAAGGGAUCAUCUAAUUCAUCUUUCUCAUUUUACUAAUACAGCAACUGAGAUCCAAAAAAUAGAAGAGAAUCUCCACAAAUCACACAGCAGUUUGGACUCUGGUCAUCUGACUUGCGGUCCAGCGUACUCACUUGUGACACUCUUCUACCUGGGGUAGAUUAAAGCCAUCAGGAAGGGCAUUGCAGGGAUGUGCGUCUGAGAGGGCCUUUCCUAGCCAUCUAUUAGCCUGCUUUGUUACCACAGGGUAGAAUACACAAUAAUUACAGAGGGAAAUGACCAAAGAUGUCACAUUUUGUGCCUGUCUUCAGUCAUUCCAUGGCAUCAGGACAUGAUCACUCUUCAC